UACGUAGGGUGCGAGCGUUAAUCGGAAUUACUGGGCGUAAAGCGUGCGCAGGCGGCGCGUUAAGACAGGUGUGAAAGCCCCGAGCUUAACUUGGGAAUUGCAUUCGAUACUGGGAAGCUAGAGUAUGGGAGAGGAUGGUAGAAUUCCAGGUGUAGCGGUGAAAUGCGUAGAGAUCUGGAGGAAUACCGAUGGCGAAGGCAGCCAUCUGGCCUAAUACUGACGCUGAGGUACGAAAGCGUGGGGAGCAAACAGG
rnacentral:rRNA from 1 species